GACGAACGCUGGCGGCGUGCUUAACACAUGCAAGUCGAGCGGUAAGGCCCUUUCGGGGGUACACGAGCGGCGAACGGGUGAGUAACACGUGGGUGACCUGCCUUUAGCUCUGGGAUAAGCCUGGGAAACUGGGUCUAAUACCGGAUAUGACUCCAUGAUGCAUGUUGUGGGGUGAAAGCCUUGUGCGGCUGGAGAUGGGCCCGCGGCCUAUCAGCUUGUUGGUGGGGUGAUGGCCUACCAAGGCGACGACGGGUAGCCGGCCUGAGAGGCGACCGGCCACACUGGGACUGAGACACGGCCCAGACUCCUACGGGAGGCAGCAGUGGGAAUCUUGCGCAAUGGCGAAAGCCUGACGCAGCGACGCCGCGUGAGGGAUGACGGCCU
rnacentral:rRNA from 1 species